rnacentral:pre_miRNA from 1 species
AAAGAAAUCGGGCAGUAGUUCUACCGAGCAAUAUCACCCGCUCGGUGGAAGGUCUUCCCUCCAUCAU